rnacentral:rRNA from 1 species
CCUACGGGUUGCACCAGUGGGGAAUAUUGCACAAUGGGCGCAAGCCUGAUGCAGCCAUGCCGCGUGUAUGAAGAAGGCCUUCGGGUUGUAAAGUACUUUCAGCGGGGAGGAAGGCGAUAAGGUUAAUAACCUUGUCGAUUGACGUUACUCGCAGAAGAAGCACCGGCUAACUCCGUGCCAGCAGCCGCGGUAAUACGGAGGGUGCAAGCGUUAAUCGGAAUUACUGGGCGUAAAGCGCACGCAGGCGGUUUGUUAAGUCAGAUGUGAAAUCCCCGGGCUCAACCUGGGAACUGCAUUUGAAACUGGCAAGCUAGAGUCUCGUAGAGGGGGGUAGAAUUCCAGGUGUAGCGGUGAAAUGCGUAGAGAUCUGGAGGAAUACCGGUGGCGAAGGCGGCCCCCUGGACGAAGACUGACGCUCAGGUGCGAAAGCGUGGGGAGCAAACAGGAUUAGAUACCCCAGUAGUC